rnacentral:rRNA from 1 species
UACGAAGGGGGCUAGCGUUGUUCGGAAUUACUGGGCGUAAAGCGUGCGCAGGCGGCCAUCCAAGUCAGGGGUGAAAUCCCGGGGCUCAACCUCGGAACUGCCUUUGAUACUGGGGAUCUCGAGUCCGGGAGAGGUGAGUGGAAUUGCGAGUGUAGAGGUGAAAUUCGUAGAUAUUCGCAAGAACACCAGUGGCGAAGGCGGCUCACUGGCCCGGUACUGACGCUGAGGUGCGAAAGCGUGGGGAGCAAACAGG